rnacentral:tRNA from 1 species
GUCUUGCCAUGGUCAACGUGGGCGAUGAUCGCGAUAUUCCGAAUAUCGCUCCGACGUUCUUUCGGUUCGAGUUGCGUGGUG